GCUCUCACGGUGGACACCAUGGACGCUAUCCGGCUGACUACGGAUCAGAAGGUUGCAGGUUCGAAUCCUGCCGAGCGCA
rnacentral:tRNA from 1 species